AGAGUUUGAUCCUGGCUCAGGACGAACGUUGGCGGUGCGCUUAAUGCAUGCAAGUCGAGGGAGAAGCAGUUGUUCCGUAAGGUUCGACUGUGGAAACCGGCGAACGGGUGCGUAACACGUGAGAAACCUGCCCCCCAGACCGGGAUAGCCCAGGGAAACUUGGAUUAAUACCGGAUAUUCUCUUUGGAUCGCAUGAUCCUUUGAGGAAAUGGUCCGCUGCUGGGGGAUGGUCUCGCGGCCUAUCAGGUAGUUGGUGAGGUAAUGGCUCACCAAGCCUAAGACGGGUAGCUGGUCUGAGAGGACGAUCAGCCACACUGGAACUGAGACACGGUCCAGACUCCUACGGGAGGCAGCAGCAGGGAAUAUUGCACAAUGGGCGAAAGCCUGAUGCAGCGACACCGCGUGCGGGAUGACGGCCUUAGGGUUGUAAACCGCUUUCGGGAGGGAAGAAAAUGACGGUACCUCCUAAAGAAGCUCCGGCCAACUACGUGCCAGCAGCCGCGGUAAUACGUAGGGAGCAAACGUUGUCCGGAUUUAUUGGGCGUAAAGGGCUCGUAGGCGGUUCAACAAGUCGGUCGUGAAAGCCCGGGGCUCAACCCCGGGAUGCCGGUCGAAACUGUUGUGACUAGAGUUCGGUAGAGGUGAGUGGAAUUCCCGGGGUAGCGGUGGAAUGCGCAGAUNUCGAGAGGAACACCAUUUAGCGAAGCGGCUCACUGGGNCGAUCUGACNCUGAGGACGAAAGCGUGGGGAGCAAAAGGAUUUA
rnacentral:rRNA from 1 species